rnacentral:rRNA from 1 species
AUGAAUAUCCUCAGCUGGAACUGCCGAGGAGGGGGGAACCCUCAGACAGUUCGUGAUCUUGUGAGCCUAGUUCGGGUUCACUCCCCUAGUAUCAUCUUUCUUUGUGAAACCAGACAGUCUAAGAAUAAAAUGAAGAGAUUGCGUUCUCGGUUAGGUCUUAGUGGGUUUGAUGCUUCGGUUAGUGUGGGUCUUAGUGGUGGUUUGGCUUUGUAUUGGCAUGAGUCUUUGAGUCUUGAUGUAAAAACAAUAAAUGAACGAUGUAUUGAUGCUUACGUCACUGCUGUGUCUAUGGUGAACCACAGAGGGAGGACCGUCAUCUCAUCUGGUCCCUCCUCCGGAAUCUUCACCGCCAAACCGACAUGCCAUGGGUGGUGA